rnacentral:vault_RNA from 2 species
GGGCCGGCCGUAGCUCAGCGGUUACUUCUGUCAACGAAAGGCUUCUUUCGGUUAAAUCUCUUCGGAGGUUCGAGCCCCCGCGGGCGCUUUCCGGUCCUUUU